rnacentral:rRNA from 1 species
GACAGAGGAGCCAAGCGUUGUCCGGAUUGACUGGGCGUAAAGCGCACGCAGGCGGCUGUGCACGUGGGGUGUGAAAGCUGGCGGCUUAACUGCCAGACGCCACCUCAUACGGCACGGCUCGAGCCCGUGAGAGGUCCACGGAAUUGCCGGUGUAGUGGUGAAAUGCGUAGAGAUCGGCAGGAACACCCAGGGGGAAACCAGUGGACUGGCACGGUGCUGACGCUCAGGUGCGAAAGCGUGGGGAGCGAACCGG